rnacentral:misc_RNA from 1 species
GUGAAUCAUCAAAUUUUUGAACGCAGAUUGCACUCCCUUCGGAGAGUAUGCCUGUUUGAGGGUCAGCCUAUAAAAAAUCGACAUAGUCGCUGUUUUCGGGGGGAGAUCGUUCGGAAAUGGGGUCAUCUUAAACCUUUUGGUUUUAAGCGGCUUAAAAUUUUUUUUAUUGAUUCCAUGAACGUUUCUAAGAUUUAUUUCUUUACAAGUUUAAAGUAUCGGUUCUUUUUAAGCGUGACCC